CCAACAUGGUGAAAUCUGUCUCUACUAAAAAUAAAAAAAAAAUAAUAAUAAUUAGCCAGGCAUGGUGGUUCACACCUGUAAUCCCAGCUACCCGGGAGGCUGAGGUAGGAGAAUCAGUUGAACCCAGGAGGUGCAGGUUGCAGUGAGCUGAGAUCAAGCCACUGCACUCCAGCCUGGGCAACAGAGUGAGACUCCAUCUCAAAAAAAAAAAAAAAAAAGAAUAAUUUUAAAAAGUUAUGAUUUCUUAUCAUUGUUUACUGACUUUUUUAAAAAGCAAA
rnacentral:lncRNA from 10 species